rnacentral:lncRNA from 1 species
UUUCAGUUCGAAAAUCACUCUAUCAGAGAGUAGACCUGUAGCGUCCCCGUAUCUAUUACACGAAUUGAAAUUUCCAACACGAUGAAUAGCAACUUACGUUACGUGGUUGUAAAAUUAGCGGACCCCGCGAGAAGAAGCAACGCGUUUCUCGUUGACGAGUGCCACGUUUUCCGGCGAGAGUUGCUAUUCUGCAUGACACUGCGGAAUUGCUUCUGCAAUUGCGGCAACGCUUGUCGGUCUGCGGGGCACGAUCACUCGCGCUGCUUCACGUCAGUGGAGUUUUUAAAGAUUUCGCGUGUUCGUCAAUUGAUGGCGGCAGAAUUCGACGACCGCACUGAAAUCGAUAUAUCACAAGCGUCAAGAAUAGUGCUGUCGCGACCGAGUCGAAUAGCAGUGAUCGAAAUUCGAGUGGAAAUGCGUGUUUGAUCGAAGCCUGAGGGAGAACGAGGAGACGAGGGAGCAACUGGAGACCGGGAAACACUCCCGAGUCUGCGAGAUGAAAACGGAUGCAACAGGCAACGCCUACAAGGGGACAUGGAUAUCCGUCGAGAAGGGUAACAAGAUCAAAAGCACAAGCGAAGGCUGACAAGCCGAUAUAAGGUAAGAUCGUUGGA